AUUGAACGCUGGCGGCAGGCUUAACACAUGCAAGUCGAGCGGGGUGAUGGUGCUUGCACUAUCACUUAGCGGCGGACGGGUGAGUAAUGCUUAGGAAUCUGCCUAUUAGUGGGGGACAACAUCUCGAAAGGGAUGCUAAUACCGCAUACGUCCUACGGGAGAAAGCAGGGGAUCACUUGUGACCUUGCGCUAAUAGAUGAGCCUAAGUCGGAUUAGCUAGUUGGUGGGGUAAAGGCCUACCAAGGUGACGAUCUGUAGCGGGUCUGAGAGGAUGAUCCGCCACACUGGGACUGAGACACGGCCCAGACUCCUACGGGAGGCAGCAGUGGGGAAUAUUGGACAAUGGGGGGAACCCUGAUCCAGCCAGGCCGCGUGUGUGAAGAAGGCCUUAUGGUUGUAAAGCACUUUAAGCGAGGAGGAGGCUCUUUUGGUUAAUACCCAAGAUGAGUGGACGUUACUCGCAGAAUAAGCACCGGCUAACUCUGUGCCAGCAGCCGCCGUAA
rnacentral:rRNA from 1 species